GCCUGGGUGGCUCAGUCGGUUGAGCGUCCGACUUUGGCUCAGGUCAUGAUCUCACGGUCUGUGGGUUUGAGCCCCGCGUCGGGCU
rnacentral:tRNA from 1 species